rnacentral:rRNA from 1 species
CCCUUAGAUGUUCUGGGCUGCACGCGCGCUACACUGAAGCUAUCAACACGUUUUCCCUCCCUGAGAAGGGCGGGUAACCUUUUGAAUCAGCUUCGUGGUAGGGAUCGGGGCUUGCAAUUGUUCCCCGUGAACCAGGAAUUCCUAGUAGACGCGAGUCAUAAGCUCGCAUCGAUUAAGUCCCUGCCCUUUGUACACACCGCCCGUCGCUACUACCGAUUGAACGUUUUAGUGAGGCAUUUGGACCGACGCAUCUCAGUUUAACCGCUGGUUUGUGUUGGAAAGACUUCCAAACUUGAGCGUUUAGAGGAAGUAGAAGUCGUAACA